rnacentral:rRNA from 1 species
GAUGAACGCUAGCUACAGGCUUAACACAUGCAAGUCGAGGGACCGGCGCACGGGUGAGUAACACGUAUCCAACCUGCCCUUUACUCGGGGAUAGCCUUUCGAAAGAAAGAUUAAUACCCGAUAUAAAGGAUGGGGAUGCGUUCCAUUAGGUUGUUGGUGAGGUAACGGCAAACCAAGCAUUCGAUGGAUAGGGGUUCUGAGAGGAAGGUCCCCCACAUUGGAACUGAGACCCGGUCCAAAAUCCUACGGGAGGCAGCAGUAAGGAAUAUUGGUCAAUGGGCGCUAGCCUGAACCAGCCAAGUAACGGAAAGAAUGAAGGCUUAUGGGUCGUAAACUUCUUGUAAAUAAGAAUAUGUAUUAUAUGAAUAAGGAACGGCUAACUCCGUGCCAGCAGCCGCGGUAAUUC